UACGUAGGGUGCAAGCGUUAUCCGGAAUUAUUGGGCGUAAAGAGCUCGUAGGCGGUUUGUCACGUCUGCUGUGAAAACUGGAGGCUCAACCUCCAGCCUGCAGUGGGUACGGGCAGACUAGAGUGCGGUAGGGGAGAUUGGAAUUCCUGGUGUAGCGGUGGAAUGCGCAGAUAGUCAGGAGGAACACCGAUGGGCGAAGGCAGAUCUCUGGGGCCCGUAACUGACGCUGAGGAGCGAAAGCAUGGGGAGCGAACAGG
rnacentral:rRNA from 1 species